AACGGCCGUACCAUGCUGAAUAUACCGGUUCUCGUUAGAUCACCGAAGUCAAGCAUCAUUGGGCACGGUCAGUACUUGGGUGGGUGACCACCUGGAAACACCGUGUGCCGUU
rnacentral:rRNA from 1 species